rnacentral:rRNA from 1 species
AACGAACGCUGGCGGCAUGCCUAACACAUGCAAGUCGAACGAGACCUUCGGGUCUAGUUGCGCACGGGUGCGUAACGCGUGGGAACCUGCCCUUAGGUUCGGAAUAACUCCCCGUAAGGGGUGCUAAUACCGGAUAAUGUCUGCUGACCAAAGAUUUAUCGCCUUUGGAUGGGCCCGCGUUGGAUUAGCUAGUUGGUAGGGUAAAAGCCUACCAAGGCGACGAUCCAUAGCUGGUCUGAGAGGAUGAUCAGCCACACUGGGACUGAGACACGGCCCAGACUCCUACGGGAGGCAGCAGUGGGGAAUAUUGGACAAUGGGCGAAAGCCUGAUCCAGCAAUGCCGCGUGAGUGAUGAAGGCCUUAGGGUUGUAAAGCUCUUUUACCCGGGAUGAUAAUGACAGUACCGGGAGAAUAAGCUCCGGCUAACUCCGUG